rnacentral:rRNA from 1 species
AUUGAACGCUGGCGGCAGGCCUAACACAUGCAAGUCGAGCGGCAGCGGGAAAGUAGCUUGCUACUUUUGCCGGCGAGCGGCGGACGGGUGAGUAAUGCCUGGGAAAUUGCCCAGUCGAGGGGGAUAACAGUUGGAAACGACUGCUAAUACCGCAUGCGCCCUACGGGGGAAAGCCGGGGACCUUCGGGCGUUGCGCGUUUGGAUAUGCCGAGGUGGGAUUAGCUAGUUGGUGAGGUAAUGGCUCACCAAGGCGACGAUCCCUAGCUGGUCUGAGAGGAUGAUCAGCCACACUGGAACUGAGACACGGUCCAGACUCCUACGGGAGGCAGCAGUGGGGAAUAUUGCACAAUGGGGGAAACCCUGAUGCAGCCAUGCCGCGUGUGUGAAGAAGGCCUUCGGGUUGUAAAGCACUUUCAGCGAGGAGGAAAGGUUGAUGCCUAAUACGUAUAAACUGUGACGUUACUCGCAGAAGAAGCACCGGCUAACUCCGUGCCAGCCGCCGCUGUAAGAC